UGCAACCAGAGGCAAUUUCAUGGGGAGCACAAUUUUUGAAAAUCAACUGAAUCAAUGGGAUAUCCAGUGGCACCAAUGACACGAUCUACGGAGCUGCAGUGGAAAGAACAGUGAGCCGGUUUUCCACGGGGUUUUCUCUUGUUUACAUUGAUGUAGAUCCAGAUCCAGCGCAGAAUAAUCUUAUUUAUUCAAUCCUAAGACUUUUCUUUUUUAACAUAUUAAUAUUUCUGGAAUCAGCUAAUACAUUAUGUCAAAUAAACUUGCUAGUCA
rnacentral:lncRNA from 1 species